GGGGAAGCGAGCUCCACUCGGGUUCCUCCUAUGCGGGCAAUGAGCGAUGGAGGCCGAGGUGUGUCUGCAGCAGGAAUCCAGAGGCUGGCCCCGACACAGCUGGCGUGUCUUACCCCGAGGGCUGGGGCUCGGGAUCCUGCAGGUUCGUGGGGUGGUGACAACCUGGCUGAUCACCACCGCGGGCUUCCUCUGUGCACAGUGUGGUCUUGCCCCACACUUUCAGCUAGCAGUGUCAUCUCGCCACUUGGAUCAGCAAGGUGGAGAACGACCUCUCCAUCCCUGUCUUAAGCCAGCUUCCGCUUCCCACAGUUAUUGACUGCUGGACCCAGAUGGGGACCUUUAAGAUCCUGGUAUUUCUGCUUCCAGUCUCUGCUGUGCUAAUUGCCCAGCCCAAAGCGGGGGAUCUCUGCUCUGCUAUUUCAUUGGGUCACUUGGAGCUUUGGUGGCUUCCAUGUGCAGAACCACAGUGACAACCCUUUUAGCACAGUGUGGAUGCUUGCUGGGGGACGUUUAUUUGGUGCUAUGUUCCAAGCAACGCAAGAUCAUGGCCUUCUGUGGAUUAUCACAUUUCCAUCACAGGGCCCUGUCAGGCAGUCCUGUGUGACCCCAUGUGACACACUGGGCUAUGGAGAGGGAGCUCAGCCAAGUUCCGGGAAUGAGAAGGGAGCCUGGCAUUGGAGCCGGGCUUACCCUGAAGCUGUCUCUGUCGUCUGAGUAAGAGGAAGACAAGCAGAGGACCUAGAUCCUAUGGCAAUGUCCUGAACAAGUCCAGCCAGAGGCCUAGAGCACAUGGCAAUGUCUCAUGCAAGUUUGUAUCAAGGAUCUGCACUGGGAAGGCCCAAAGAUCAAACGCUGGAAGCUAGGAAGUCUGAGCCAGCGGGAUGUAGUAUCUAUGCCUACAGGCUGAGGGAGCUGCCCUGAAACCAGGAAGCAACACCCAAGAUGAAGACCAGAGCUUCCUGAAAGAGAUCCUGAAAGCCAUCCUCAGUGACAGCAAGGUGCCAAGUCCAUCUGACAUCAAGCUCGGUGGAGUUUGUAUCAGGAAAACCAGCUGCGGCAAGCUUCUCCAGAAGAAUCAAUAGUACACCAUCUUCCCCUCCAGUUCUUUUACGCAACAGUCCGCAAGUGGGCCUUCCCCACCUAGCACCAUGCUGACUCAGCGCAGCUGGGUAUUCCCACUCAAGUUGACCAUUAGUUAAUCCACCACAAGCAGAGCACGUCAUCAUUUUCUCCUUUCCCUCAACAUCACAGAAAAAAAUCAUUCCAUGUUGGCUCAUCUUGUUCAUUUUAUCCAACUGAGGCAUCAUUUGUUUUAAAUUUCUUUUUGUCCCACUUACUGUGAACAAAUAAUCUACUUACUUUCUUUGUAAAAAAACACUCUGUAUGCUUCAAAUCAACAACAAAGAUAAUGUUAGCUUCAUCUUCUCCAAAUAAGGCAAGACACUCCAAAUAAGGCAGGACACUUUAGGUCUUAUUGCCAAAUUUAACCGAUGAAAAUUAUAGGACAUGGUGAAAUUUGAAUUUUGGAUAAACGGCACAUUUUUAAUGUAAAUUUGUCACCAAUAUUGCAUGAGCAAAUAUUGCAUGGGAUAUGUGUACAUUAAAAAUUAUUAAUCAUUCAAUUAAAAUUUGGAUUGAAUACACUGCA